UGCAUCGCGCGCACUUCCGCUUCCGGUGCAGAAGGCGCCUUGUACCGUUUCCGCAUGCGCAAAGGCCGGGCCACUACUUCCGGUCCGUGCGGUUCAGGCUGAAAUGAACAAAAGGAAGUCUUGCUUACAUUGUGUUUCCUUUUACUGUGCAUUUCCAGUAUAAUCUGGUUAUCGGCCUUUUUCAUUGAAGUCACUUUAGGGUCUUAGUGUCAACAAGAAUGUUGGACUUAAGAGGUUGGGCAGAGUACAUUGUGGAAUGGGCUGCAAAAGACCCUUAUGGUUUCCUUUCGACUGUUAUCUUGGCACUCACUCCAUUGUUCAUAGCUAGUGCAGUACUGUCAUGGAAACUGGCAAAAAUGAUUGAAGCAAGAGAUCGAGAACAGAAGAAGAAGCAAAAGCGUCAAGAGAAUAUUAACAAAGCCAAGAGACCAAAGAAGGAUUGAACCCGUAACCAAGAAACAUUCCCUUUCUUGAACUAAAAUACAGCUUGUUUUGCAUAUUUAACAAUUACAAUUAUAUUUGGUAAUAACUUCAAGAGUGAUACCAUAUUUCAAAUGGUUGCUUCUUUAGAUCUGUGCUUCUGCCUAAUAAUUUGUUGUAAUUUUUAUAAUGUUUAUUAAUUAUUGGGAUAAUCACUAGUGCGCUACACCUAAUUUUUCUACUUUGUUUACUAUUUGAAUUGAGUAUAUACAUUUCUAAUUCCUCAAGUACCUGUUCCAUAAUCUUGUGACUGAAAACAUACUGAGAAAUCGCACUGAAAUCAUUACAUUGAUGCAAUAUCUGCUUACUAUUUCUAAAUUAUAAAAACUUGUAAUUUAUAACUGGUUCUAUUUUUGUUUAAAGGCCUGAUGUUACUGACUGAAUUCAAUUAAUGAUUGCAAAGUGAUGAGAGAAGGGAAACACCCGAGAUGAUUUUCUUUGGUGACAUGGUGCACAUUAAAGUCUUCGAAUGACAAGGUUUCAUUGGCAUAGUCUUUAGCAAAUCUCGACUUCUUUGUUACAUUGAAUAGUCUAGACUGGAUGUUUGCAUGGAUUCACCCUUUUGAAUCAUAUUCUGAUAUUAGCCUCAAAGACACUGAUCGCAGGGGGCUUCAGGGAUCGUGUACGUGUGUCAUUGUGAUAUUGUUCUCUUGUUCAAAGUCUGCUUUAAUGGCAAUGAGCUCAUCUGGAAAUGAUGCAUCAUUGUCACUUAUGCUACCUGGUUUCACCUUGUGGAAUGCGAUUGUGUGCAAGCCCUGCCACAUUAAGAGAGUCAGUGAUCCUAGCUCAGUCCAGUAUUGUCUUUGUGCUCAUAAUGGCCUUCAGGAGGUUUUUGCUGGAAUAUUUGCAUGCUAAUGGUUCACCAGUCCUAAACACUGGGAAUGUUUUUAUCUGUAUAUACAUGUCCACAUAUUUUGUUAUGAAGUCAGUGACCAACCGUGCACUUCUGUUGAAUCCUUGAAUUUGGCCCAAUCCAUCCACUGAUUUAAAGCAAAAAUUCUCCUCUGCCUGCCCUGACCAGCUCUUUGUAGCCCUCUUUGCCGUUACCAUAUUCCUCAAUCUGCCUGUAGGCACAAAAACAACCACAGCCAGGUGGUCAGACUUUCUAAAGUACGGGAGACCUGAUGGUAGUAUAGCAGUGUUCGAGUGUACGGUGUUGAAGAUAGCGUAUUAAAGGUAGUUUUGCAGACAAGUGAGCCUAGUUGAUGUCCCCAGCAAUGAUUUGGAAGGUAUUGGGAUAUGCUAUUUUGUGCUUAUGUCAUUCCCCGAGUGCCAACUUGACGUCUGCCUGAGGCAGGCUGCAGUCAGGAAGGCGGCUGAGAACAGUGGGCAUUUAACUGCCAGACCCCUUGGCACUUUCAAGAUGGGAGCAGACGGAGGAAAACAACAAUGUCAGUGAGUGGGCUUGGGUCUCACUUCCUGCGCCCUCGUAGAUGCUUAGAGGUUGAAUUUGGGGGGCAUGGAGGCUGAGCGGUGGCUGACCAAGGGAAGGGAUGGCGCAUUCACAGGUUGAUGUGCGAUUUGUCUGGAUUGAGGCGUCCUUGGAGUGGGUCGUUGGAGGCCCUGCAGCAGCCCGGGGCUCUGUUAGAUCUGGUGCUGCUUUUCAAGUGGCCAAGCUUGCAGAACAGACAUGGCCAGCUGCGGCACAGAAUGUUGCGGCAUCAUUGGGGGACAUCACCACAUCACCUAGCCAGGACAACCCCUGCAACUCCAAACCAGUUCCGCCACCAGGACAAUGGACUUAUGGCCAAGUUAAGACUUAGCAUUUUUAACAAAUCUGAACUUGAAAUGUACAAGAUGGUUCCAGAAACGUGGCGAUUCUUAAGUACUUUCUCAGUGUAAUCUACUACCUUACACUAUUUGUAGUUAGGUAUGAUUGUGCAUAAUAUACAGUAAAACUUAAUGAACUAUGCAAAAUAAAAAUGCCUCUGUACCUCGAUGCAUGACAAAGUACCAUUGAGAUGUUCUAGGAUGGGGGAGUGGGAACGUGACAAGACCACCAUAUUCGAAGACCAUGAUGAGUUUAUCCUGAAACAGAUGACGCUGCAUCUUUUCCUGCAGUCGAGUCCAUUCUGUACGGUGGAUGGUAAAACAUUGGCUGGAGCGCCAUGUUGGAGAGAAACAAUGUGUCAUGUCUCUGUAAGUACACAACUUCAUGUUUAGUUUAGUUUAUUUGGAAGAUUGAGGGGGGAUCUUAUAGAAACUGACAAAAUUCUUAAGGG